AUCAUGCAUUGUUUGCAUUGAUAAUUUAGGUAGAAAAUGUGACAAUCCAAGCUGUCAGGGGAUCUUACGUGACACGAUAAUAAACUUUGGAGAAGACCUUCCAGACAGUGAGUUGACAAGAGGUACAGAAGAAGGUGAAGUAGCAGACCUUUGCUUAGCAAUGGGAUCCAGUCUCACUGUCACUCCAGCGGCCGACAUACCAGAGUGUGUCGCUGAGAGAGGAGAGAAGCUAUAGUUAUAGUUAACCUGCAAAAGACACCAUUGCACAGUAUGGCUGCACUAUGCAUUCAUGCUAAAUGUGAAGAAGUGUCCACAAUGGUAAUGGAGAAGCUUGGACUGCCCAUACCUGAGUUUAGACUUAAGAGAAGAGUCUUCAUUAAAGUGACACAAAGUGCUAAAGGACCUCCUGAGGAACAGGUUUCAUUAUCAAUAGAAGGACGGACAUGUAUGGAUUCUAUUUCUCAUUUCUAACUGGAGUUACAGUGUCUGUGGGUGAAAGACCUCAACAGUUGCAGGAGCCUUUCUUUAUCAGGUUUCCAUGGAGAGCAACAGCUGGUGCCUCAUCUGAUGAAAUGAAGGUUCAGUUGACAUUUCAUUUUCAAGGACAUUACGGUGAACCACCACUUGAUAAAGAACUGAUUAUUAAAAAGGGAGUGAAAGAUAUGCAGCAUAAUUCAGGAACAAGUGAAUGGAGUAUAGAAGAUGAUGUUGCUGCUGCAGUAGUUCCAACUGCAGGUGUAAAGAAACUAACACUCAAGGAAAUUAAAUUGAAGGAAUCAUAACAAUUUUAUAAUAAGAAGGAAUAGAUUUACACUUUUCUUCAAGGUCUGCACUGAUAAUCAUCUCAAAUUCCACAUUCUUUUUUUAGAGACUCAAAGAGAAUUUGUAAUCCAUCUAGACCAAUCUUUGUAUCUUUGAUGUCAAGGCUUUUCAAUUUAUGAUUGGUCUGUAUAAGCUCAGCUAGGGCUGGGACACUUGCUGAAGUGAUAUCAGAACUUUCUGAAAAUGCCAAACUAGAUACUGCAGUAAAUGCACUAGUGAAAUGACACUGUUGUCAUCAAUGGAGCAGUCACACAAUACAAGUGACUCAAGUGACUUUACAAGUGCGCGUGCUUCAAACAUAUUAGUAGUAUGGGAGAGAGAAAGAACAUGUAAUGUUUUGUUUGCACAUAAAAGAUCAGCCAGUGAUUGACAGCUUUUAGAAGUCAAUAAUUGAAAUCAAUUGACAGAAAUGUAAGAGUCGAGUUAGCUUUCAACAAAUGUGCCAGCCUUUUGACCCCUCAUCAUUAAUUAUAUCAUGAGUAAGCAAUAAAUGCAUCAACAUUAAGUUGUCUGUCAUAACGACGGAAAAAUGGUGAGUAAACUCCUUUAAUGGGCUUGAGUGUAUAUUGAGACACUUUACAUAAUGAUCUGUUAAUACAGAUGGUACAAAUGACUUUAAAGGUUACAGUGUCUGUGGGUGAAAGACCUCAACAGUUGCAAGAGCCUUUCUCUACCAGGUUUCCAUGAAGAGCAUCAGCUGGUGCCUCAUCUGAUGAAAUGAAGGCUUAGCUGACGUUUCAUUUUCAAGGACAUUAUGGUGAACCACCACUUGAUAAAGAACUGAUUAUUAAAAAGGGAGUGAAAGGU
rnacentral:misc_RNA from 1 species